rnacentral:miRNA from 1 species
CUUGUGCUCUCUAUCUUCUG